UACGAAGGGGGCUAGCGUUGCUCGGAAUCACUGGGCGUAAAGGGUGCGUAGGCGGGUCUUUAAGUCAGGGGUGAAAUCCUGGAGCUCAACUCCAGAACUGCCUUUGAUACUGAGGAUCUUGAGUUCGGGAGAGGUGAGUGGAACUGCGAGUGUAGAGGUGAAAUUCGUAGAUAUUCGCAAGAACACCAGUGGCGAAGGCGGCUCACUGGCCCGGUACUGACGCUGAGGUGCGAAAGCGUGGGAGCAACAGG
rnacentral:rRNA from 1 species